AAUUACAGAAUCAUAGAGUAGUUUGCGUUGGAAGGGACCUUUAAAGGUCAUCUAGUUCGACCCCCCUGCAAUGAGAAUCUUUAAGUAAAUCAG